AACCAUAGAAACCUGCGGAGUACCUGCGGAGGGAUCAUUACUGUAAAGCUGGAGGCCAUGGGCCUCCGGUAGUCUGAUCAACCACUUGUGCACGCAUUGAUUUUUAACGGGCUUUGGCGGAUGUAAAAGUCUGCCAAAGUUUUCGUUUAUCAAUAAACUUGUCUUUUAUAUUUGACUGAGCUUGUUUUUAAUCAAAUAAAACAACUUUCAACAAUGGAUCU
rnacentral:misc_RNA from 1 species